GUGCUCGCUUCAGAAACACAUAUACUAAAAUUGGAACGAUACAGAGAUUAGCAUGGCCCCUGCACAAGGAUGCCAUGCAAAUUCAUGAAGCAUUUCACCUUAAA
rnacentral:snRNA from 1 species